GGGCACCGGGAGAGCAGCGCGCCGCGGCCCCUCGCCUCCCUCAGAGCGCUCCGCACCGCCGUCCCCACCGACCUUCAACGGGGCCGGGGCCAGGCUCCGACCGCCAGCAGUCGGCUCCUCCGUGCAGUCCCGGGUAGAGAGCCCGGUCCCUGCGCUAGUCGAUUUGUGCAGUAGGAAAGGAGGCUGCAGGGGAUCUGCGCCGGGGCAGGACAGAUGCCUUUCGGGACCCAGUGUUUGCAUCUUGGGAGAUGUGGGUGCUGAUCUGGUUGUUUCUUGGUUUAUGACGCCAAAAAGGGCGGGAGGGGGCUGAUGAAGUGAAGCCUUUCGCUAAUACAUUCCGUUAACAGAAGCCCACGAAGGAUCAUUGAUUUAUUUCACUCUUCCCUGUUUCUGAACCUUAUCUGGCAAAAACUUUUGUGGUGCAUAAAGUUCAGUAUGUUGCUAAAGCUGAGUUAAUGAAAGGAAAAUUUCAGCUGCGACUCUUGUUUUAAAAAUGAAUCUAGGAUGGAUAGUGGUGUUGGUUGCACAACAAUGAAUGGACAUAAUGCUACUGAACUGUGCACUUAAAAAUGGUUAAAAUGGUAAAUUUUCUGUUAUGUAUAUUUUACCACAAUAAGAAUGAAUUAGAAGGGAAAAGCUUUGUGCAUUCAUUUGAAAGUAAUGGUGAGGUCUUGUAACGUAGGCCAUUUAGGGGACAGGUUUUGAAUAUAUCUUUGUACCAGUUUUUUUUUUUUUCGAGUGUGUGUGUGAGACAGAGCAUUGCUCCGUCGCCCAGGCGGGAGUGCAGUAAUGUGAUCUCGGCUCACUGCAACCUCUGCCUCCGGAGUUCAAGCAAUUCUCCUGUCUCAGCCUCCCUAGUAGCUGGGACUACAGGCGCACACCACCACGCCUGACUACUUUUUGUAUUGUUAGUAGAGACGUGGUCUCACCAUAUUGGUCAGGCUGGUUUCGAACUCCUGACCUUAGGUGAUCCACCCGCCUUGGCCUUCCAAAGUGCUGGGAUUACAGGCCUAAGACACCGUGCCUGGCUUGUACCAGUUUUUACAUGAUUGGGUGUCCUCUUAUCCUGUGAACCAAUUUAUUUGCAUUUGUAUGAAUGGCCUGCUUUCCUGAUUUCUAAUUUGUCCCUUCUUUUAUAGCCCUAUACCAUUUUACUAUCCUUGCUAAACAGGCUUUUAUUGCUUGUUUUGUGACUUGAACUUUAGCCUCAAAAUUGGAAAGGCUUUUUCUGUUUUUUUUUUAGUUCCAGCCAUGUCUUAGGAAAAUAUAGUAAACAACCAAUUAUUUGCAUUUCCACGUCCGUGCAUCCCUAAAACACACAGUGUGCCAAGAUUCUUUCCCUGUUCCACGUUCUUUUUAUUCAAAUCACAUUGUUAACUCAUCUGCUGUGUGCCAGGCAGUGUGCUAAUCUUGGAAGAUACCAACAUGAAUGAAAAAGAACUUGGGUGGAGUGUUUGCAUUAUUACCCUAUGAUGUAAUGUGUAUAGUGCAGAGAUAAAUGCACAGAGAGCUAUUGAAGCUCAGAAGAAGCAUUAAUCCAACUUUGGGAAGAGGUCAUGGGUCAGGAAAAACUUCCAGGAGAAAAUGAUUCCAGAGAGUUGAAGUGGGAUGUCUUGUGGUGGCGGUUGGGAGGAGUAAAGGGAAAAGGAUUGCUUGAACAGAAGCUGUACAGUAAGAAACUGGUCUUUGUGCUGAACUAAAACUAAGACUUCUAUGCCACUGUUUAGGGAUGUGAGGCUGGAGAAGUUGACAAGGAUCAUGGUGAGCCUUCAAAAAAAGUCAAAUCAGUUCAACCAUUAUAUAUAUAUAUAUAGCUUAUUAGAUAUUUGCCAAAUACUGUGCUAGUUACUGAGGGAUAUAAUGAAAGUUAAGGGUCAGUCUAAAAUCUCAGAGUUUGCAAUCUAGCAGGGGUAGACAGGCAUGUAAAAACAAAAAAAAAACAAGUUCUGCUACAGAGUUAAAAUUGGGGUAGGUACGGGGUUGUCUGGGAACCCAGAAGAGGAGCACUUAACUAACCUAGAGAUUUAGCAGGACUUCCUGGUAAUUAUCUAUUGAUAGAAGAAUAUAAAAUAAUCUCUUAAAGAAAUAAGAAAAUUCACCUGGGGUGGCUCACUCCUGUAAUCCCGGCAUUUUGGGAAGCCGAGGCAGGCAGAUCACUUGAGGUCAGGAAUUUGAGACCAGCCUGGGUUUAGUAGAGAAACCCCAUCUCUACUAAAAAUAAAAAAAUUGCCGGGCGUGGUGGCAGGCGCCUGUAAUCCCAGCUACUCCAGAGGCUGAGGCAUGGGAAUCACUCGAACCUGGGAGGUGGAGGUUGCAGUGAGCCGAGAUCGUGCCACUGCAUUCCAGCCUGGGUGACAGAGUGAGACUCCAUCGCAAAAAAAACCAAAACGAACAGCAACAACAACAACAAAAACAAUAAGAAAUACGAAAAUUUAUGGCAUCUACUGAGGUACAGACUACUAGAGAGUAUAGCAUACUGAUCUAAUUGUCAGAUUACCUGGUUCUAAUUCUAGAGUCUACAGUAUACUGUGUUAUCUUGAGAGUCUCUUAUCUUCUCUAGGUCUGUUUUCUCUCAAAUAUAAGAAGAUAAUCACAUUAUAUAGACUUUGAAUUCCUUUAGAAAUUUGUCUAGAAAUUUCCUGAUUCUAAAUUUACUUCCCAUAUUUAUCUUCCCAAGUUUGGUGUCACCCAUUAUGCUGCUAAUAAACAGUUUUGUGUCACA
rnacentral:lncRNA from 1 species